rnacentral:rRNA from 1 species
UACGGAGGAUGCAAAGCGUUAUCCGGAAUGAUUGGGCGUAAAGCGUCCGCAGGUGGCUGUGUAAGUCUGCUGUCAAAGAGCAAAGCUCAACUUUGUAAAGGCAGUGGAAACUACACGGCUAGAGUGCGUUCGGGGCAGAGGGAAUUCCUGGUGUAGCGGUGAAAUGCGUAGAGAUCAGGAAGAACACCAAUUGCGAAGGCAGGUGACUAAGCCGUAACUGACGCUGAUGCACGAAAGCGUGGGGAUCAAACAGG